rnacentral:tRNA from 3 species
GGUAUCAUGGCAGAGUGGUUAUUGCGGGGUACUGUUAAUACCUUUUUCCAGAGGUUCAAUUCCUCUUGAUGCCU